UGCACAGACAACCAGGAUGUUGGCUUAGAAGCAGCCACUCAUUCAAAGAGUGCGUAAUAGCUCACUGGUCGAGUGAUCCUGCGCCGAAGAUUUCCGGGGCUAAAACGUACUACCGAAGCUACGGCAUAAGUAAUGAUGGGUAGGGGAGCUUCCCAUACGGGUUGAAGCAUGACCGUAAGGACAUGUGGACAGUAUGGGAGUGAGAAUGUUGGCAUGAGUAGCGAGAUGUGGGUG
rnacentral:rRNA from 1 species